GUCCACGCCGUAAACUAUGGGUGCUAGCCGUUGGGAAGCUUGCUUUUCAGUUGCGCAGCUAACGCAUUAAGCACCCCGCCUGGGGAGUACGGUCGCAAGAUUAAAACUCAAAGGAAUUGACGGGGGCCCCGCACAAGCGGUGCAGCAUGUGGUUUAAUUCGAAGCAACGCGCAGAACCUUACCUACCCUUGACAUGUCUAGUAUGGGCACCGGAGACGGAGUCCUUCAGUUCGGCUGGCUAGAACACAGGUGCUGCAUGGCUGUCGU
rnacentral:rRNA from 1 species